rnacentral:rRNA from 1 species
AACGAACGCUGGCGGCGUGCCUAACACAUGCAAGUCGCGCGCGAAUGGAGCAAUCCUAGUAGAGCGGCGAACGGGUGCGUAACACGUGGGUAAUCUGCCCGGAAGCCCGGAAUAACCUGCCGAAAGGCAAGCUAAUACCGGAUAAGCUCACGGGGUCCUCGGACCGCGGGAGAAAAGGUGGCCUCUGUACACAAGCUACCGCUUCUCGAUGAGCCCGCGGCCCAUCAGCUUGUUGGCGGGGUAAUGGCCCACCAAGGCGACGACGGGUAGCUGGUCUGAGAGGACGAUCAGCCACACUGGAACUGAGACACGGUCCAGACUCCUACGGGAGGCAGCAGUGGGGAAUUUUGCGCAAUGGGCGAAAGCCUGACGCAGCAACGCCGCGUGUGUGAUGAAGGUCUUCGGAUCGUAAAGCACUUUCGACCGGGACGAAAACCUGUUGGCUAACAUCCAGCAGCUUGACGGUACCGGGAGAAGAAGCACCGGCUAACUCUGUGCCAGCCGCCGCGGUAAUAC